CACGUAGGGCGCAAGCGUUGUCCGGAAUUAUUGGGCGUAAAGAGCUCGUAGGUGGUUUGUUACGUCUGCUGUGAAAACCUAGGGCUUAACCCUGGGCUUGCAGUGGAUACGGGCAGACUAGAGGUAGGUAGGGGAGACUGGAAUUCCUGGUGUAGCGGUGAAAUGCGCAGAUAUCAGGAGGAACACCGGUGGCGAAGGCGGGUCUCUGGGCCGUAACUGACGCUGAGGAGCGAAAGCGUGGGGAGCGAACAGG
rnacentral:rRNA from 1 species